ACGGAGGGUGCAAGCGUUGUUCGGAAUCACUGGGCGUAAAGGGCGAGUAGGCGGUCCGCUAAGUCUGAUGUGAAAGCCCGGGGCUCACCCCCGGAAGUGCAUUGGAAACUGGCGGACUCGAGUCCCGGAGAGGAGAGUGGAAUUCCUGGUGUAGCGGUGAAAUGCGUAGAUAUCAGGAAGAACACCCGUGGCUAAGGCGGUUCUCUAGUACGGUAC
rnacentral:rRNA from 1 species